rnacentral:rRNA from 1 species
UAGGGAAUAUUGCAAAAUGGGCGAAAGCCCGAUGCAGCAACGCCGCGUGGGCGAUGAAGGCCUUCGGGUCGUAAAGCCCUUUUUGAGGGGAUGAGGAAGGACAGUACCCUCAGAAUAAGCCUCGGCUAACUACGUGCCAGCAGCCGCGGUAAAACGUAGGAGGCGAGCGUUAUCCGGAUUUACUGGGCGUAAAGCGCGUGCAGGCGGAUUGGAGAGUUGGAUGUGAAAGCUCCCGGCUUAACUGGGGGAGGUCGUUCAAUACUUCCAGUCUUGAGUGCAGUAGAGGGAAGUGGAAUUCCGGGUGUAGUGGUGAAAUGCGUAGAUAUCCGGAGGAACACCAGUGGCGAAAGCGGCUUCCUGGACUGUAACUGACGCUCAGACGCGAAAGCUAGGGUAGCAAACG